rnacentral:tRNA from 1 species
CAAGGAAUAGUUUAAAUAGAAUUUCAGCUUUGGGUGUUGAUGGUGGAGCUGUUGCUUCUUCCUUGA